AGUCUCGUAGCUCAGCUGGUUAGAGCGUUACACUGAUAAUGUAGAGGUCGGCAGUUCGAGUCUGCCCGAGACUA
rnacentral:tRNA from 1 species